UAGCUCAGUGGUAGAGCACUUACCUAGCAAGUGUGAAGCAGCCCUGGGUUCAAUCCCCAG
rnacentral:tRNA from 1 species